GACGAACGCUGGCGGCGUGCCUAAUACAUGCAAGUCGAGCGAGCUUGCCUAGAUGAAUUUGGUGCUUGCACCAGAUGAAACUAGAUACAAGCGAGCGGCGGACGGGUGAGUAACACGUGGGUAACCUGCCCAAGAGACUGGGAUAACACCUGGAAACAGAUGCUAAUACCGGAUAACAACACUAGACGCAUGUCUAGAGUUUAAAAGAUGGUUCUGCUAUCACUCUUGGAUGGACCUGCGGUGCAUUAGCUAGUUGGUAAGGUAACGGCUUACCAAGGCAAUGAUGCAUAGCCGAGUUGAGAGACUGAUCGGCCACAUUGGGACUGAGACACGGCCCAAACUCCUACGGGAGGCAGCAGUAGGGAAUCUUCCACAAUGGACGCAAGUCUGAUGGAGCAACGCCGCGUGAGUGAAGAAGGGUUUCGGCUCGUAAAGCUCUGUUGGUAGUGAAGAAAGAUAGAGGUAGUAACUGGCCUUUAUUUGACGGUAAUUACUUAGAAAGUCACGGCUAACUACGUGCCAGCAGCCGCGGUAAUACGUAGGUGGCAAGCGUUGUCCGGAUUUAUUGGGCGUAAAGCGAGUGCAGGCGGUUCAAUAAGUCUGAUGUGAAAGCCUUCGGCUCAACCGGAGAAUUGCAUCAGAAACUGNNGAACUUGAGUGCAGAAGAGGAGAGUGGAACUCCAUGUGUAGCGGUGGAAUGCGUAGAUAUAUGGAAGAACACCAGUGGCGAAGGCGGCUCUCUGGUCUGCAACUGACGCUGAGGCUCGAAAGCAUGGGUAGCGAACAGG
rnacentral:rRNA from 1 species